rnacentral:rRNA from 1 species
UACGUAGGGUGCGAGCGUUGUCCGGAAUUAUUGGGCGUAAAGAGCUCGUAGGCGGUCUGUCGCGUCGAAUGUGAAAACCCGGGGCUCAACCCCCGGGCCUGCAUUCGAUACGGGCAGACUAGAGUUCGGUAGGGGAGUCUGGAAUUCCUGGUGUAGCGGUGAAAUGCGCAGAUAUCAGGAGGAACACCGGUGGCGAAGGCGGGACUCUGGGCCGAUACUGACGCUGAGGAGCGAAAGCGUGGGGAGCGAACAGG